rnacentral:snRNA from 1 species
GUACUUGCUUCAGCAGCACAUACACUAAAACCGGAGCAAUACAGAGAUUAGCAUGGUCCUUGCCGAAAGACAAUAUGCAUAUUUGUGAAGUAUUUUUUUUUGUU